GACGAACGCUGGCGGCGUGCCUAAUACAUGCCAGUCGAACGCUGAAGGAGGAGCUUGCUUCUCUGGAUGAGUUGCGAACGGGUGAGUAACGCGUAGGUAACCUGCCUGGUAGCGGGGGAUAACUAUUGGAAACGAUAGCUAAUACCGCAUAAUAUUGACUAUUGCAUGAUAGUCAGUUGAAAGGUGCAACUGCACCACUACCAGAUGGACCUGCGUUGUAUUAGCUAGUUGGUGGGGUAACGGCUCACCAAGGCGACGAUACAUAGCCGACCUGAGAGGGUGAUCGGCCACACUGGGACUGAGACACGGCCCAGACUCCUACGGGAGGCAGCAGUAGGGAAUCUUCGGCAAUGGACGGAAGUCUGACCGAGCAACGCCGCGUGAGUGAAGAAGGGUUUCGGAUCGUAAAGCUCUGUUGUAAGAGAAGAACGAGUGUGAGAGUGGAAAGCUCACACUGUGACGGUAGCUUACCAGAAAGGGACGGCUAACUACGUG
rnacentral:rRNA from 1 species